ensembl:lncRNA
CCUGCAUGCAGCCCCGCAGCUCUCGGGGUCAUUUGGGUGCCAGCGCGUCGCCCGCAGGGCCGCUGCUGUCCCGGGGAGGUGGUGUGCAUUUAUCGGGGCGAGAGAGCAUCCCCGGCGCCGGGGGAUCAGGGCUGCUGUUGGCCCCCGCUUUGGCGGGCAGCAUCGCUCCCCAGAGGCUCUGCCAGGGCCAACUUUACAAGGGAAGCUUUUAUUUUUAUGCUUUUCUUUUUUUGUUUUCCAGCUGAAACAAAGCCGAGGGCUCCAGCAGUGAGAGCACGGGUGGGAAAACAGGCCGGGGGGGGGGGGGGGGGGGGAGGUGGAGGUGGGUAGAAAAUACCAACAACCCGCAGAUCCUGCAACGAGAGGGACGGGGGGAAAAGGAACCGGAGGCUGCAGAGCUGAAGGGCAAAUCUAUGGGGUUGGAUCCUCCCUCUAAUUAGACUCCUGAUCAAGCAGCUGGGACAGAAUAACUCCAAAAGGUGUAUGCAGAGGCAAAGGAAAGCCACCAGCACUUCUCACCAGCCACAAGGACAAGAGACGAUGGCCUCAAGAUGUGCCAAGAGAGGUUCAGAAUAUCUUAGUCCAGAAGCUUGGAGCUCCUCACAGCCUUGCAGCUCCUCACAGCCUGGAGAAGAAAGACAAAGAGCUGGACUGAACUGGAGUCAGCACACAACUCUGAUGACUCUUCAUACCUACAUAUUCUACAAAGUCACUCUAAAGAGAUGUGGCUGAACUCAACGAAGUCCUCAUAAUGGGACGAAGUGACACUGCGGCAGUGUGGAAUUCCAGAAGAGAAGCUUACAGGCUUCAAGGAGAAGCAAGAAGCAGCAGCUCCCUACCAGGCCAGCCAAGAGCCACAGCUUUUCUGAUACUCCUGCUGGUGGUUGGCCACAUGGCUGCACAAAGCCACCACCCUGCAGAGCGUGGGCCUUGCGUCUGCCUGGGAGCCAGGUCCCAUCUGGCUGUAAUUACCAGCUUCACAUCAGCAGAAAAAUGCAAUGUUUAAACACAAAUGUUCGAUGUUUGCAUAGCAAACCCUGGGACAGAAAGCUCUUGAUAAUCAGCCUGCAGGAGAGGAGGUGGUGCUGUGCAGGUGAGCCCUGAGCUGUAUGGCAGAGUUAGAGCAGGAUUCCGUGGGAC